UACGUAGGGUGCGAGCGUUGUCCGGAAUUAUUGGGCGUAAAGGGCUCGUAGGCGGUCUGUCGCGUCGGGAGUGAAAACUCAGGGCUUAACCCUGAGCCUGCUUCCGAUACGGGCAGACUAGAGGUAUGCAGGGGAGAACGGAAUUCCUGGUGUAGCGGUGAAAUGCGCAGAUAUCAGGAGGAACACCGGUGGCGAAGGUGGUUCUCUGGGCAUUACCUGACGCUGAGGAGCGAAAGUGUGGGGAGCGAACAGG
rnacentral:rRNA from 1 species